GAUGAACGCUGGCGGCGUGCCUCAAACAUGCAAGUCGAGCGGGGCUAUGUAAUAUCGCAAGGUAGAACAUAGCCUAGCGGCGAACGGGUGAGUAACACGUGGGUAACCUGCCUGGAAGACAGGGAUAACGAUUCGAAAGGGUCGCUAAUACCUGAUAAUAUCCUUUCAUCGCAUGGUGAUAGGAAGAAAGGGGAAACCCCGCUUUCAGAUGGGCCCGCGUCCCAUCCAGCUAGUUGGUAAGGUAAAGGCUUACCAAGGCGACGACGGGUAGCCGGUCUGAGAGGAUGUACGGCCACACUGGGACUGAGAUACGGCCCAGACUCCUACGGGAGGCAGCAGUUGGGAAUCUUAGGCAAUGGACGAAAGUCUGACCUAGCGACGCCGCGUGAGGGAAGAAGGCCUUGGGUUGUAAACCUCUGUCAUGGGGAAGAAGUAAGUGACGGUACCCCAAGAGGAAGCCCCGCUAACUACGUG
rnacentral:rRNA from 1 species